GUCUAAAUAUAAACAAUUUAUACAGUGAAACUGCGAAUGGCUCAUUAAAUCACUUAUCGUUUAUUGAUAGUACUUUACUACAUGGAUACCUGUGGUAAUUCUGGAGCUAAUACAUGCUAAGAAGCUCGACUUCGGAAACGGUGUAUUUAUUAGAUAGAAACCAAUGCCCUUCGGAGCUCCUUGGUGAAUCAUAAUGAUAUAUAUAUAGGUAACGAAUCGCAUAGCCUUGCGCCAGCGAUAGUUCAUUCAGAUUUCUGCUCCAUCAACUUUCGAUGGUACAGUAGGAUAGAUCAUAGGCCCUUCCGGACAAAAGUGGAG